UCGACAUUGAUUUGUGAUUAUUCGAACAUUUCUAAUAAUGUAAACAAUUAUAGUAAUUUUAUUCGAAAUUUACUUUAUUUAACUAACUUUUUUAAUUUAUUAAUAUCUUUAUUACUAUGAAAUUUUAAUAAAAAUUUUGUAUAAUAAAAAUUUUCUGAGUUGGUUUCCUACUUUCCAAGUAAUUCAUAAUUUAUCAGUCUUCAAGAGUUCACGCUACAGUGAAUUUCACAAUUUGAUAUAAACUUAUAAAAAUAUAAGUCAAAUCUUCUUGUUCUCCUUUUUUCCCCCUAUACUUAAUCAUCAUUUUCGAAAAAUGGCCACGAGAUUUAUGAUCUUUUUAUUCGAGAAGAUUUUUUGUAUGGAAAAUUUUUCCAUUAUUGUCGAAUGCCUCUUAAUUAGACCUAAAUUAAAGAUCUAGGAUAAUAUAUGCUUGAGAAUAUGCUUGUUUUUAAGUAGAUAUUUUGGCAAUAUUUUAACUUGUAUAUUUUUUAAGAUACUUCAAUUUUGCUUUGAUCAAAAAUUCAAGAAUAAUUUUAUAAUAUUCCAGACAAGAAUAAGAUAUUGCUGACCAACAUCAUCCUACACUCGAAAAAAUUUAUGAUAAAUCAGCUUUUAAUUUUCAUACGAUACCAGAUUAAUUCGAGGAAAUUUCUCAAACUUGGAGAUCACAAUUUAAGAAAUCUUAUUAACUAUGGCUCAUCAAAAAAUCACCUCAUUGAACUGGAUUUUCAUUUAUGAGUCCUCAUCAAAAAAUAAGAAACAAUUAUAUAUAAUUAACACUUCUUGGUGAACGAAUCGUAUUCUAAAUCCCAUCAUCAAACACGAUCAUCUAUUAUAUAAUAGAUAAUUAUAUAAAUUAUAUAAAUAAUUAUAUAAUUGAAGAGAAAUUCAAAUUUCGUAUAAACAAGCUGUAAUUAUAAUCCAUUAUUGUGACAUGUUACAAACAUUUAAUCGAGUCAAAAGAUCAUUCAUCUUCCAUCUAUCAGCAACAUUAUCGUGGGAUAUGAACAUUGGUCUUUCAAGAUCUUUGGUGGAUUUCAAGUAACUUUAAGAAUUGUAUUUGGCGUGACUCACAUGAGAAAAAUAAUUUCACUCUCUUCGAUGAACGAUGUUUCAACAGAUGCAGGAUUCCUGCAAAUAUUUUUUAAUAAAUAAUUCGAAAACCAUUCAGCAAAAGUUUAUGUAGUAUAAAAUAUACAAUCGAAUAUUCAUAUAUCACCUUUUUUCUAAUGCGACUUUAUCGAAUAAUCCAUCAAUUGGUUGAUGGCAAACUCGAAUCUAUGAAAAUUCGAAAAUUCGAAAAUUAAUUGACGAGUUGAGCCAAGGCUAAAAAAAUUCCUGCGAUGCGCACGAAAGAAUCACUUCAGUCGAUUGCACUUCGAGAAUUGAACCAAAAUGUAAUAUGAUCGAUAAAUUUUAAGUUGUAUAUUAUAUACAAUGCUACGAUGAGAAAGCGUAAUAUUCUUUCACGAAAAUUUCGAAAAAGAAAAUGCUUCGACAUUAUCGAUAGAGUUUAUAAAUAGUUGCAACGUGCAUAGAUGUUAGUGUAAAAUUUAUCAGUGAGAUUCUCCAACGAUGUUCCAAUUUUUAUGGCGAAUGGAUCUUUGGAGAAUGGAUCUUCUUUUGCAACAGUUUCGAAUCGAUGAUAAAUUCUCACAAAUAUCGAAAGAUUUGCAUUAAAAAAGAUUGUCCAUAUUACUUUACUGCGUGAAAAUUAUUGUGUGAAAAUAAACUCACUGUGAAUGAGUUAUUCGAAUUAUCUUCAAUGUCAAUUUGAUGAAUGUCUAAUUGAUAGACGAUUUUACUAACAAUGUUCAGUCCUUGAAAUCGCUAUAGGAACCCUCUGUCCAUCCAUAAGUUACUCUCUUGAUACGUCUUCUGGAAACAAAAUUGAAGGUGUGGGAAAGUGUUGCAUCUUCUUCGAGCAAUAUUAUAAAUUCUUAUCUGAGAUAGCUCAAUGCAAUAACGAAAUCGUGUACAUAAAACUGCGAACCAUCACGUAUGGACAUUGAAUUCCUCAAAUCAUAUUGUUUAACAGAAUUAUUGUUAAGAAUUUUGCGGACGAAUUCAUAAUCCAGCAUCUCAAAUCGAUUGUCUAGGUUUGCCCUGAAAAUUCUGAAAUUCAUUUGUUUCUCAAAUUACAAAACGAACAUAGCACGGACCCUCUGAAUUUAGUGGAUCCUAUUAAAUUAUUAAUUUAUAUUCUUUGGACAAAUGAGGAUUUCAUGGAACAAUUCGGUUUACAACGAAUUUAAGAAGGUUUCAAUCGUGUUUUGAAGCCAAAAUAUUGUCAUUCUACAUCAUUGGAUAAUGAAAACAGAAUAAACUUGCAGUAAUAGAAAGACUUUGUAUUAAAUUAUUCAUUCAAAUUCUUUGGAAUUUUCAUGGAAUAUAAUAAUCGUAUAUCUCAAAAUAUUUUAGUGGAAUUGCAAUAAAUUAAUUCAAAUUCUUUGGCCAAUUGAGAAUUUCAUUCAAAUUUCAAAACAAGUCCUUAUAAAUAUCUCAGAACUUGAGGAACAUCAAUCGUAUUUCGAAGCCAUUCCACGUCUCGCAUUGGAUCACAAAAACAGAAUGGAAUUGCAACGAAUUGCAAGUUGAGUUUUCUGAUGCGCUUCAAUGGAUUCACGACUCGUAUAUUUCUAUGAAUUUCUGAUAACUCGAGAGACACAGUCGCGUAUUACGCGCUUUCGCUUUUCUCGAAAAGAUCAGCCUGUCGUGUUUCGAAUUGAUAUUUUAUUGCUAGCAAGAUACAGAUGUCUUCUUGCAUCAACUUCGUGAACUGGACUGAUUUUAUUAUAAUUACGUAAAUGAAGAAUAGUUCCAGUCGAUAGAUGUUUAAAUUGCUUUACAAAGUAAAUGGAAAUUAUGUUUCCUUCGAGGAAAAUCUUGUCACGAGAAGAUGGGAUCAUUUCAAAAUUCGCAUCUUUGAUGAAAUGAUCCAUGGCUGACCGCUGUGAGACGAAUGAUUUUCAUUAUAGAUCCAUUAUUUUUAAAACUGAUCGAAAAAGGAAUUUUGCACGAUGAUAAUAAGAAAGAAAAUUCACAGUUCUCAACAAUAAUUUGAUUUAUAAUAUAAUAUACAACAGAUUUUUGUAAAGUAAAAUUAUAAAAGAGUGAAUAUAGAAUGAAAAGCUGCAAUGGCAUUGAAAUAGAAAGAUAAAUUAGACUUUUAUAAUCUAUCUUCAAAACACGAAACAGCUGAAACAUCUGAAUCGGACAAAAAACAAUUCAAUUUGGUUCUUCGAAACCAAAAUAUUCAAAUAAUCAUUGAAUAUAAUAAGGAAAUGAUUGGAAUUGUUCGACAAGACCAAAUGUUAGCGUGAUGAGGAAAUAUAUGAAAGGAUACCGAAAAAUUUUCUUUUACUUGUUUGAUAUUGCUUUGUUUAAUUCGUUCAACAAAAUAAAUAAUAGAAAAAAAAAACUUACACUGAACAUAGGAUUGAAAUAGUAGAAACAUUAUUAAAAAUUGUAUUGUUACCAAUAAACAAAAAGGAUAUUUACCAGACAGAAAAUUGCAAGCGAAAUAUCAUUUCCUCGAACAUAUAAAUCCAAUAUCAUCGAAAUCGAAGCCAGCAAGAAUCUGUAAAGUUUACAAAACAUAAAAAAAAACGUACCAAAACAAUAUGGGAAUGCAAAACAUGUAAAGUUGCAUUAUAUGUAUAAGCUUCAAAAAAUACCACAGGAUCAAAGAUUAUUAAAUUUUUGUAAAUUUUAUCAAGAUGUUAAUAAUUUAAAAUAUAUAUUUAUUUAAAAGUGUUAUUUUAUGACUUAUUAUUCGCUUCAAGAUAAUAAAUCUUUUUUUCAAUUGUUUCGUUCAAUUAUCAUUUGAUAAUAACUAUUUAUUAAACAUUUAUUAAACAUGUAAAAUAAAAUUAAUUAUAUUGGAUUGUUCGGAAAAUAAUUUCGUUUUUUCACACGAGUUUUGUUAGUUGAAUGUUUCUCCAGCCAAACUUCAUUUUAAACCGUGUUGUUAUUAUGUAUUUUGAGAGUUGGAAUUUCAUGGUUUAUUUAUAAGAAAUUUAUAAGAAAAAUUCGUUUGUUUCUAUGUUUUUCGUGUGCGAUACAAAAGAUGCAAAAUCAAAGAAGAUUUUUGGCAUAUUUUACCAAAAAGAAUGCUCAUUCGAGAAAAAAGUUAUGUGAAGUCUAUGGAGAAGACGUAUAUCUUCUCUCAUAUUAAGUCGACAAGUUUCAUAGAUAUGUAGAAUUCCAAAUAAUAUUUUACAAAUUGUGUUUAAGUGUAAUUUUCAUUUGUUAAAAUAUUUUAAAAAUAAUACUCUAAAAUGGCAAAAAGAAAAUUACCGAAAGAAGUGUAUCGUAAAAUUAGUGAAACUAGUGUAUAGUAAAAUUAGCGAUGAUGAAUUUUGAAAACUGAUUUUGAUACAAAAAAUGAUAACGGUUUUGAAAAUAUUUAUAUUAGUGAUUCUGGCAGCGAGUACAAUUAAAAUUUUCCAGUGUUAGUGAAGUAGAAAAAAAUGAUGAAAAUGAGAAUAAUGAUAUAAAUGAUUUUGAAGAGAUGUUAUGUAUAAAGACCAGCCUUUAUCAAAAACUAAUUUUUCUAUGGAAUCUAAGAUGGUUAGAUCUAAUAUACCUGCAUUCACGGAACCUAUCGAUUUUUUCAGAUUCUUUUUCAUAGAUAUUUUGAAUGUUAUAUUUGAAUGAAAAUAUUUUCGGAAAUCCAAAUAUAACGAGAAUCCAGAAAGUGAUUAUAUUAAUAGUAAAUUCCAUUUUAUACCGGAUAGAAAAAUAUCAAUCAAUGAAUCUGUUACUAAAUUUAAGGAUAAAAUUAGUUUCUUAAUUUACAAUAAGUCCAUCAAAUGGGGAAUGGAUAUUUAUGUGUUAUCAGAUGUACAGAAUACAUAUAUGAUAUGCUUCCCUAUUAUGGAAACAUCAAUACAAAAUGUUUCAUAUGUCCCUAAGUGCAAGUAUUAUUUUAUAACUACACCAAAAAUUAUUGAAGGCAAAUUCUGAAGAAAAGGAAUAGAUAUUUUAGUGAAAUACUAUUAGCGCAGGAGCUUUUAAAACUAAAAUAUUAUUUAACUUUUAACUAGUAUCAUUCAAACAAACAGAAAAUAUAUUACAAGUGUGAUUAAAAACCAGCUGUAACAAAAAAUAAUAAUAUCGAUCAGAUGAUAUUUUAUUAUUAGCAUGGAAAGAUAAAAGAAUAAUUACCAAAUUAAGCAACUACGAUACCUCGAGUAUGAAAACUAUAUAAAGAAGAUUAAAAGGAGGUAGCGCCAUCAACAUUAUUUAAUAUAUGGAAAGUGUCGAUAAAGUUGACCAAUAUGCAAGUUCAUAUUGUUUUAUAAGAGAAUCAUGUAAAUGAUGGAGAAAAUUUUUUUUCUGGGGAUUAGAUAUAUAUGCAAUCGAUAGCUACAUCUUGUAUAAAAUUUCAAUUAGAAGAGAAAACAAGAUGUCUGUUACAUUUUAAAAUUGUUGGAACAAUUUGCAAAUAACUUUCGUGAUAGAAUAUUUUCAAAAUCAGGAAGACCAUCGUCCUCGGAUGAAGAGGAAAGGCUUAAUGACUAACUACAUAUAUUACAUCGUGAAGAUGUAAAGGGUAAAGAUUGUUUUGCAUGUUCAAACAGAAAAAUUAAAGACAAAAGACGUCAAACUAAUUACUUUUUGCGAUACAUAUUCCCGAAAACUAGGGCUCAUAUUGAAAAUUGCAAAAAAGUUUUUCGAAAGAUACCACAUGAUGAAGAAUUAUAAAUAUAAUUUUUACAUAGAAUUAAAACAUAUUGUAUAUAAAAAAAUUUUAAAAAGUUUAAAAAAGAAUUAACAAAUUUCUUAAGAAUCUUGCAUAUAUGUUUUAUUGUUCAUUCAACGAAAAUUAAUUCUGACUAACAUCUAUGUAUAAUACGACUUAAUACGAUUGUAAAGAGUUAAAAAUAUGAUUUCUUAAUUAAUUUCUCUAUUUUGUGUGUGUGUGUGCGUGUAUAAUAAUUUAUAAUACAUUCUUGAUUUACCGAGAUAAACAUCACGAUAAUAAAUUAUUUCACGUCUUUUAUCUGGUUUAUUUCAUCGAGAAAAAACUUAACAAUUUUUUUUUGUUCCCACUAAAAUCACAUGGAAUUUCGAAUUUAAUCAUAAUUAAAUUUCAUUAUAAGUAAUGACUGAUAUCGAAGCUUGAUUUCAUUUAUCAAAAAUCUCCUAUCAACUGAUCUAAAAUCUAAAAUUUUUAUAAAUUGUAGAUGGAUAAAGCUUUCGUAGUUUUACGUUCUUCUGCUUUUUUUUACUAACUUAUAAAAAAUAUAGGAAUUAAUCGAACAAUACUACAUCACUAUCCACUAUUUCUUUCAUUUUCUCUAUCAUUAAUUCCUUCACAAAUACAAUCAAUCUCGUUUCUCAACAGUUCAAAAUUAAAUUCAUCUUUGCUUAAGCUAAUUUUUUUUUCUUUUUUACGAAACUAUGAUACUUUUGCCACAAUUGUCGAAUUUACACUAACGUUAGAGACAUUAUCAGGGUCAUAGUUUUGGAAAAAUACUUUAUCUCUAUUUUAAAGUAUAAAUUUAUAACAUUUCCAUUUCCUGCGCUCUUAUUAACUUAAAAUAGCGAAAUCUAGCAUAAAUAAAGAGACUGUCGCUUCUUCGUCGACGAGCAAAGAGCAGCAGAUUUUAUUAUUAUAUUGACAAUUCAUUAUGCGUUGCGAACACGAACGAUUGCUGCACACUGAUUGCGAAACUGUACUGUCAUCAAUAGAUAUAUAAUAGAUAUAAUUAGCUGCUGGAUGUAUAUGAUACAACAAAACUCAAAAAUUUACUCAGUUCAAUCAUCUGAAGUUAGAUCCGAUUUUCUCAUCUUCCUUUAGUACAAAUGUUGAUUACGAACCGUUCCUCGUUAAAAAGCGAGAACAGAAUAGUAAAAAGUACUUCGUUUGCCUAUAAUUAACUACAAAGAGAAAUUCAUUUUUAAAUUGUUUGUGCAGAUUUUCUCGCAUAGACAUCGUAUAUAUCGCAAAUUCGAAAUAAUUUUAUGAUUGAGAUAUCGACUGAAGGUUCAUUCCACACGUUCCACGUUUCGAUUCUAAGAAGUUAAAUCAUUAAAUCAGUCGAUGCAUUUAUUACGAAUAAUAGGAGAAACUCAUUUCACAUUCGAAGAAGUGUCGUCACAGGUCGAGGCUUGUGUGAACUCAUUAUAUCCCACUUUAUUCGAUCUUUCAACUCUUGGGCAUUAAAUUGCAAGUUCAAUGAUCGAUAUAACAUAUCCUGAUAUUGAUCAUUGAUGAAUCACUUGAGUUGGUUUCAGUUAUUCCAAGCAAUGUAGCAGCACGAUUUUGGAAGCACGAUUACACCAGCUCUAGGAAUAAAUGAAGAAAGAUUAUAUUAAAGUAUUAAAGUACAUUGAUCUUUGUAAAGAAAGAAAAUCUUUCACUUCUGCAAUGGAGAUUCAACUGCAUUGUCAGGAAAGGAUGGCAUGUAGACCAAAGGAGAAUCAAUCCAGCAAGCACUGAUGUGACUCAAAGAUUAUAACCAUUAAUAUAUAACUUAAAUUAUUGACAAUUUUGAAUAAUUUGUAAAAUCCUACCUCAUAUCGUAGAAUAAGGAGUAAUCAUUUAGAAUUUGGAGGUACUACCAGCCAGAGAGUUGAUCUGCGAACUUAUUGACUUUGUGAUUUUCUUGAUCUUGUCUCACCGAAAAAUAAUUAUUUAAAAAAAAAAUUAUAAAAUCAUUAUAUAUAACAAAUUUUAAUCAAUUUUAUAUAUUUUACUUUGUACUGUAGAAAUGAAUUUUAAAAAAUACAUGAUAUUUAUUUAAUAAUUUAUUACAUAUUUUAUUAAUAAAUAAAAAAUU